UACAGGGGGGGCAAGCGUUGUCCGGAAUUAUUGGGCGUAAAGGGCUCGUAGGCGGUCUGUCGCGUCGAAAGUGAAAACUCAGGGCUUAACCCUGAGCCUGCUUCCGAUACGGGCAGACUAGAGGUAUGCAGGGGAGAACGGAAUUCCUGGUGUAGCGGUGAAAUGCGCAGAUAUCAGGAGGAACACCGGUGGCGAAGGCGGUUCUCUGGGCAUUACCUGACGCUGAGGAGCGAAAGUGUGGGGAGCGAACAGG
rnacentral:rRNA from 1 species